rnacentral:rRNA from 1 species
UACGUAGGUGGCAAGCGUUGUCCGGAUUUAUUGGGUUUAAAGGGUGCGUAGGCGGUCCUAUAAGUCAGUGGUGAAAUACUCUAGCUUAACUAGAGGGGUGCCAAUGAUACUGUAGGACUUGAGUACAGAUGAGGUAGGCGGAAUUGACGGUGUAGCGGUGAAAUGCAUAGAUAUCGUCAAGAACACCUAUAGCGAAGGCAGCUUACUGGGCUGUAACUGACGCUGAGGCACGAAAGUGUGGGAUCAAACAGG